UUUUGUGCUACGGGAAAAGAAAAAUUUCUAAAAAAAUUCUAACAAAAAAAAGCACAGAAGAGACUCCAGCACCUGCUAUUCAAGUUCCAGGUAAUGCCAUCAACUUGCACAAAAAAGCUGAAAAGAUUUUACCAAAAUCUUCAGAACCAUUGCUCCCUAGAAGAAAUGAAGAAAUAGAUUCCAGUCUGAAGGUUAUAUAUGUUGUCAAUGAUAAACAACAAGAACAAUCUGCUGAGAUCAAUGUACAUGAAGAUGGUCAGAAAGUGCCAUCAGUGAAAUAAAUCCAAUAGAGAUUUUAUUUAGCUGAGUGCUUAGACCAAAAGCAGAUUGCAAUGACUGGGAAAUGUUUUUCUUCAAACUGUGGAUAAUCACUGCAGUGGCAAUAACAAAAUACCAUGCUUCCUGCUUAGCUGGUUUUUACCAAUCAUUGAAAUGUCUGGAAUUAUCUGUGGAGAUUUCAGCCUGCUUUUCUUUUUGGAUUUGCUUCCAUAGCCUUCGUCCAACCAAGAACAAACUACAAGACAGCUGCUGACUUAUGGAGCUGUCUCUCCUAGAAGAGUUGUUGUUGCCAGCUGUCGAGCCUCAUCUGCUCGAGGGUUUGAAUUUAAGCCUAUUCAUGGUUUAGCAACCAUGUGCUUUUACCAACUCGGCCACUCAACUGUUGAGGGUUAAAAACAGAGAACUAGCAACUGCUAUGUAAUUUCCUGCAGUAGACUUGAUACUCCAAUGUUAAACACAGCUGUAAACCAGCUAAACUCAUCUAAGAAAUCAAACAAGAUCCAAAAUCACUUGCUGAUUUUGGGUCUGCCAAAUCAUGUUUUGGAAAAAAAUAAACAGAAAAGACCAACUUCAACAAUAUUUUCAAGAAGUCUAUUGAAAAAGAUAGAACCUUUAAAUCCUCAAUAGCCUUAGUAAGCCUUAGUUGAUCUUCACCGAAAAAAUAAAAGAGAAAUGCAGUAAAUGUGUGUGUAAAAUGUUUUAACAACUCUCCUUCACUUCUUCUUGCAUCUCUUCACUUAUUCAACUGACACCCUAACCUGUUCAUAGUUUUUUUUUUUUAAAUUUUCCAGUGAUUUGAGCAUCAUAUGCAAUGUUUUAGGCUAAGAUAAACAAACUUUUUUUAGUUAUAUAUAUAUUUUUAGUUAUGCUGUAUAUUAUGUAUGUAUGUUGAUUUUAUAAGUUGUUAUAUCACAUAUAAUAUUAUUGGUCUAUGGGGUAAGAAAUGGAAACCAAAGACAUUUAAGAAUAAAGAUUGGACAAUCUUACUUUACUUUUAGAACAAUACAAGCAUAAUCACAUAUUUUCAGGAACAUAUGGUUUAUUUUUUAUGAAUUUUUGAGGGGAUGGAGUCUUUGACCAACUUUUAAAUAUGUCAAAGGUCAAUGCUAAGCAAUUCUAUUUAGAUCUAAAUUCUUUAAAAACAACCAAUAAUAAAAUAUUUUUUAAAAAUU